rnacentral:rRNA from 1 species
UGAAUACGAGACGCUACGGCGUCGAAGCAGUCUAUGUCAUACUUCCAAGAAAAGCUUGCACUGUCAUAAACAAAUAAUGCCUGUACCAUAACCGACACAGGUGGGUAGGUAGAGUAUACUAAGGGGCGCGAGAUAACUCUCUCUAAGGAACUUGGCAAAAUGACUCCGUAACUUCGGGAGAAGGAGUGCCUUAUUUAUAAGGUUGCAAUAACAAGAUCCAAGCAACUGUUUAUCAAAAACACAGGUCUCCGCUAAGUCGUAAGACGAUGUAUGGGGGCUGACGCCUGCCCAGUGCCAGAAGGUUAAAGAAGUUGGUUAGCAUUAGCGAAGCUGAUAACUGAAGCCCUGGUGAACGGCGGCCGUAACUAUAACGGUCCUAAGGUAGCGAAAUUUUUUGUCGGGUAAGUUCCGACCCGCACGAAAGGCGUAAUGAUUUGGAUACUGUCUCGGAGAGGGGCUCGGUGAAAUAGACUUGUCUGUGAAGAUGCGGACUACCUGCACCUGGACAGAAAGACCCUAUGAAGCUUUACUGUAACCUGAAAUUGAAAUUGGACUUUAUUUGCGCAGUAUAGGUGGGAGGCGUUGAGAAUAUUCUUGCGGGAAUAUUGGAGCCAUCAGUGAGAUACCACUCUUGUAAUGUUAGAUUUCUAACUUUGAAUCAUUAUCUGGUCAAAGAACAGUUUCAGGCGGGCAGUUUGACUGGGGCGGUCGCCUCCUAAAUGGUAACGGAGGCGCACAAAGGUUUCCUCUGAAUGGGUAGAAAUUGUAUUUAGAGUGUAAAGGCAUAAGGAAGCUUGACUGUGAGACCUACAAGUCGAGCAGGGACGAAAGUCGGUCUUAGUGAUCUGACGGUGCUGAGUGGAAAGGCCGUCACUCAACGGAUAAAAGUUACUCUAGGAUAACAGGCUGAUCUCCCCCAAGAGUUUAUAUCGACGGGGAGGUUUGGCACCUCGAUGUCGGCUCAUCGCAUCCUGGGGCGGUAGUACGUCCCAAGGGUUGGGCUGUUCGCCCAUGAAAGCGGUACGCGAGCUGGGUUCAGAACGUCGUGAGACAGUUCGGUCCAUAUCCGGUGUAGGCGUUAGAAUAUUGAGAGGAGCCUUCUUUAGUACGAGAGGACCGAGAAGGACAUACCUCUGGUGUACCAGUUAUCGUGCCAACGGUAAACGCUGGGUAGCUAUGUAUGGAGAGGAUAACCGCUGAAAGUAUCUAAGUGGGAAGCCCACCUCAAGAUAAGUA